AGAGUUUGAUCCUGGCUCAGGACGAACGCUGGCGGCGUGCUUAACACAUGCAAGUCACGGGGGCCCGCAAGGGUAACCGGCGAACGGGUGCGUAACACGUGAACAACCUGCCCUCGUGUGGGGGAUAGCCGGGCUAACGCCCGGGUAAUACCGCAUACGUGUCUUCUGGGGGAUCCUGGGGGACGGAAAGCUUUCGGGCGCACGGGGAGGGGCUCGCGGCCUAUCAGCUAGUUGGGGGGGUAACGGCCCACCAAGGCGACGACGGGUAGCUGGUCUGAGAGGAUGGCCAGCCACAUUGGGACUGAGAGACGGCCCAGACUCCUACGGGAGGCAGCAGUGGGGAAUCUUGCGCAAUGGUCGAGAGACUGACGCAGCGACGCCGCGUGUGGGAGGACGCCCUUCGGGGUGUAAACCACUGUUGCCCGGGACGAAUCGGCUUAUUCGUAAGCCUUGACGGUACCGGGUGAGGAAGCACCGGCUAACUCCGUGCCAGCAGCCGCGGUAAUAC
rnacentral:rRNA from 1 species